AUACGGAGGGUCCGAGCGUUAUCGGGAAUCAUUGGGUUUAAAGGGUCCGUAGGCGGGAAUCUAAGUCAGUGGUGAAAUCUUGCAGCUCAACUGUAAAAUUGCCAUUGAUACUGGAUUUCUUGAAUUAGUGUGAAGUGGUUAGAAUGUGUAGUGUAGCGGUGAAAUGCAUAGAUAUUACACAGAAUACCAAUUGCGAAGGCAGAUCACUAACACUAUAUUGACGCUAAGGGACGAAAGCGUGGGGAGCGAACAGGAUUAGAUACCCCAGUAGUCC
rnacentral:rRNA from 1 species